rnacentral:tRNA from 1 species
GUGCUCUUGGCCGAGCGGCAGGGGCGCCAGCCUUCCAAGCUGGGCACGCGAGUUCGACUCUCGCAGGGCACU